rnacentral:rRNA from 1 species
UACGUAGGGACCAAGCGUUGUUCGGAUUUACUGGGCGUAAAGGGCGCGUAGGCGGCGCGGUAAGUCACUUGUGAAAUCUCUGAGCUUAACUCAGAACGGCCAAGUGAUACUGCAGUGCUAGAGUGUGGAAGGGGCAAUCGGAAUUCUUGGUGUAGCGGUGAAAUGCGUAGAUAUCAAGAGGAACACCUGAGGUGAAGGCGGGUUGCUGGGCCAACACUGACGCUGAGGCGCGAAAGCUAGGGGAGCAAACAGG